CAGUCGCCGCGGUAAUACGUAGGUGGCAAGCGUUGUCCGGAAUUAUUGGGCGUAAAGGGCUCGCAGGCGGUUUCUUAAGUCUGAUGUGAAAGCCCCCGGCUCAACCGGGCAGGGUCAUUGGGAACUGGGAAACUUGAGUGCAGAAGAGGAGAGUGGAAUUCCACGUGUAGCGGUGAAAUGCGUAGAGAUGUGGAGGAACACCAGUGGCGAAGGCGACUCUCUGGUCUGUAACUGACGCUGAGGAGCGAAAGCGUGGGGAGCGAACAGGAUUAGAUACCCGAGUAGUCCCUGUCUCUUAUAC
rnacentral:rRNA from 1 species